rnacentral:rRNA from 1 species
CCCGCCGGCGACCGGCGCACGGGUGAGUAACACGUAUGGAACCUGCCCGCAGCAGGGGGAUAAGCGGAAGAAAUUCCGUCUAAUACCGCGUAACACCGCAGAGGGGCAUCCCUCGGCGGUUAAAGAUUCAUCGGCUGCGGAUGGCCAUGCGGCGCAUUAGCUAGUCGGCGGGGUAACGACCCACCGAGGCGACGAUGCGUAGGGGUUCUGAGAGGAAGGUCCCCCACACUGGUACUGAGACACGGACCAGACUCCUACGGAAGGCAGCAG